GGAGGGUGACCCCAGUGGGCAGGACUGCACACGCCCAGUUGCAUCCAGGAGAACGAGCUCCGUGGGAGGGUGAUCCUGGCACCUAGUGGAUGGAGACCGGGGUCAGUCAUGCUAAACUUCUCAUAAUACACCAAACAGCCCCCGUGUCCCCCCCACAGGAAUUAUCUGGCCCACGGGUCGGGAGCUGAGAAGCCCGGCAGGAAGGCAGUUUCCAGGUGAUUCCGGGCGCUUGGAGGUUUGCGAGCCGCAGCUUGCAUGACUGUCUCCGUCGGAAGGGGAGCUGGCAGUUCUGUCCGUUUACAGACGGCAGAGAGGAGCUGGGGAGGAGGGCGUGGUGUCGUGUCUCGGAGGUGACGGCUGUGUGACAGUGAGAUCGCACGUUCUUGACAGCAGAGAUCGUGCUUGAAGUUUCCUCCCCGCGUUGACAAGGAUGCAGAGACGGCGUUGACCGGGCCGUUGCUCACGGUGUCCGCUGCAACGCAGGUUGUGCUCGAUGCACAGCACAGUGUCGUUAGUUUUGAUCACCAUCCAUGACGUCCCUGGCACUUGUUCAUCUUAUCGCCGGAAGUUCGUGCCUUUUUGACCAACCCCGUUUCUGUCUGGAGCGAAACGUAACGGUAAAAUGCAGGCGUCAAGCAGCUGGAAAACGAGCCUCAGGUUUUCGGGAGGGAACCCCUCCCUCGCGGGUCUGUUGUCUCUUUUUAGGCACCUGGAAAGUCGCUCGUGGCCAACGCCUUAGAAGCCACUUAGGAAGGAACCAGACUUGACUUUCUGUUCUGCCGCCUGGAUGUGUGGAGGCGUCUUGAGUCUCAGCUCCUGCCCGUUACCAUCUUUUGCAGACAGUGGGGCGAGGUCGGGAGCAGGGGCGUGGGUAGCGAGCGGAGUAAUGGUGGGACGAUGCGCAGUGUAGGGCACGAGUUAGAAGACGUGCUUUCGAGGACAAACAGUACCAUUUCGGCAACCGGCUAGGUGUCCCACCUGUGACUCCGACCGUGUGACCGAGAGAGGUCACUUAUCUCCAUCCGGCCACAGGACAGUGUCUCAGCUCAACUCUACGGAGUGUGCUCUCCGGAAGCCUCGUGGAGGUGAUAGUUUCCACAGGAACCGACAUCGUCAGAUAAGCAACCGCCAAGUUCCCCGGACGGUUCUGUCCUCUGUCAGGGGUCAGGUGUCCAGGACUUCCCUGCCUGCUCUGACUUCCUGCUGGGUACCUGCCCUCACGUCCACCUGUGCAGCACGUGUAACGGGCCAUGAAGACUUGUGGAGACGAGUCAGUCCUCCUGUGUGGAGGCUGGGCUUAUUUGAGCCAGGGUCAGCCGGUGACUGUCCUCAGGCAUGAUGUGCGGGAUUAAAUUGGGGUAGAUCCAUAUAACUUAAGGUUGUCACAUGUAAAUUUUUUGUUGCAAUAUGCAGACUGAUGUCUCUUGGGGAAGAUCCCUUGAGUGGGAACAGAAUUAUCGAAUUUUAGUCCUGGUGCUGUCGUUAACCACCCGUGUGACAGUGGCCUCGAGAGGAUCAAGCUGGCGUCCCUGCCAACUGAGAUGCUGGCAGAAUGCUGUCGUGGCUGCCCCAGGACCGCGUGGCCAACCCGUUGUCCGUGGCUGUCACCGUGUUGACAGACGAGUGCGGGCAUUGCCCGGCCACUCGUGGUGGCGGUAAAAAUUACAUCACGGCGCCAUCCAGGGUCCGGAACGCUGUGCUGGGGAUCUUGUCACCUUAUAAGGAAUUCUCGACAGUGAUUACGUUCGCUGUGACUUCUAGUGAGUGCACGGCUCUGGGGAGGAACCGGAAAAGGGUCACCUCCCAGCAUAUUCCAGCCUGCGGGCUCGUCUCGUGACGACGUGUGCGAGCUGUCCCUGACCUAGCGUGCGAGGUAAGGGCGCAUGUGAGCUCGUCAGAGGAAGUCACGUUCAGACACUGCGUCUACAUAGAAGUAGGGAGCACGGGUGGGUCACCUUGACCGCGGCGUCCUCGUUCCUUUGGAAGAUGCACGAGCUCGCACUGUGGCGGCCGGCACCACGGGUGGAGGGGUUUUUCCCUUUUUUUUUUUUCCUGAAACGUCCAUGGAGAAUCCACUCCGAGACUGAUCAACUUACUUUUUUAAGCAAAACAAAACAAGGUGAUUUUUUGUACUGUUAGGAGGUUUGGCGUAAGAGUCAUUAUUGCAGGUUGGCGACCCUUGUGCAUUUAGGGGGGGCUCCGCUCCCUUUGGGGAGGACUCCUCGCUCGAUAAGCUCGGUUCCUGCGGCGUCUGGCUUAGGACGGGCGUCCGGGAGAGCGGCCGUGUCGCGCUGUGGCUGCCUGUCAGGCUUGCUCAGACUCCGGAAGACGUUUCUGCCUUUAGCCCUCUUGUUUUUCUUUAUUUUUUUGUUCAUUUGCUUUCCUGGAAACGUUUCCAUAUCUGGUCCGAGAGGAGGUCUCAGACAGGAAGAGCGCGAACAGGCCGCUUCCUAACCAGCCGUCGAUUCUUGCCCUAAAUGGUGCAUUUCUGCCCCUCUAUUUCUCUCCUAAAAAAUGGGGAUGCAUUCCGGAGCUGCUCCUGAGUGUCCCCUUCGUCCUCC